rnacentral:lncRNA from 1 species
GCAUGAGAUUUGUUGGGCAGCUGAAAAUUGCUGUAGCAAUGAAGCACAAGAUGUGCCACCCAGGACAACCACAUCCAGAAAGAAAGGAGACCUCUUCUGGUUGCACAUGAGGAUGCAACCUCUUCCUGUACCAGAGGAAGCUGCAAAAGAAAAUAGCUGGACCAUGUCCACGAUGCUCCAGAUGCCACAGAAGAUUUCAGAAAAAGUGAACCAGGAGUGCCCUCGGUCCCCAGCCAACAGCUUUGAAGGUGGCCUGGAAGAACCAGAUGAAGACAAUACCUAAAUAAAAUCGGAAAAGAAACAAUGCUGGAGGAACUCCUCUCCUGCACCUGAAUCUUCUGGGCCAUACAAAUAGAAGAUGUUCGGGGUUGCAAUGAGCAGAGAAGACUGUGACUCCUGGGGACAAGGGGACCCAGCAAGAUGGCCACCACACCCUGGUUGGUUUUCCAGGCACCGCUGAUGACUGACACUAUGAGGAGGAAGCAGCACUCCAGACCAUCAAUAGUGCCCUGUGGG